ensembl:lncRNA
AAGACACACUUUCAGUUCACCUGUGUUCUCUUUAUGCUUUCAGAUCAAACUCCAUCCAGUGACUGCUCGACAUCAUGGCCCCAAACCCAGGAAAGCAUGAAGUCUUGAUAAGGAGCUGAAAACACCAGCUGAGCAUCCUCACUGUGUAUUAUGGACUCUCUAACCUGUGGUCAUGUGCACCAUUCAUUUGCAUCGGAAUUUUGGUCUUAGGCCUAUUUUUGUGCUUAGAAACAUCUCUGGAUCCACUUUUUUCUCAAGCCCCACAAACACUGCCCUGAUCCAACCUCAUAGAUGUUUUGCCACCAACCGAGGCCAGGUGUAGGCCUGGAACCCUGUACUUGCUCAAAAACCACUUUAAGACGUCUGCCAGUAUUAUUUGCCACAGAAGUCUAUCAAGAUCCAGGCAGGGGCAGAUUCUUUAACACUGAGCCUCCAGAGAAGCCAUGAGGAAACACAGGGACUUCUCAGAGGAACAGAACAUUCACUGAGAAUCCUUAACCCCGGGGAGGUGCCUAUCCAAUCUGUGAUGCCCAAGGCAAGAUCAGCUUGGGAACAGGGUGGUGUAUGUCCACAAAGAGAAUGCUGCAGAGGAUGCUGGAUCCUGGAAAUGACGUCCAGGGAUUCCACAGGGAAUGGUCUGAUAUACCUCAGGAUCUUAGAGAUGUGCCCUGCACUUCCAUGGCAAUGAUUACCACUGACCCACCAUGAGGAGGCUUGCCCAGGGGCUGCAUCAAGUCCUGCUGGCUCCACCUGAAGCACCAUGGCCCGGAAGUCGCUCCUGCC